rnacentral:rRNA from 1 species
GGUACCCUCGUUAGAGUGAGACCCUGCGCUCGGGGGGGGUGGGUCUCCGCCCCUAAAAGGUUAGCGGCGGACGGGUGAGUAACACGUGGGCAACCUGCCUGUAAGACUGGGAUAACUUCGGGAAACCGGAGCUAAUACCGGAUAAUAUAAGGAACCUCCUGGUUCUUUAUUGAAAGAUGGUUUCGGCUAUCACUUACAGAUGGGCCCGCGGCGCAUUAGCUAGUUGGUGAGGUAACGGCUCACCAAGGCGACGAUGCGUAGCCGACCUGAGAGGGUGAUCGGCCACACUGGGACUGAGACACGGCCCAGACUCCUACGGGAGGCAGCAGUAGGGAAUCUUCCACAAUGGACGAAAGUCUGAUGGAGCAACGCCGCGUGAGCGAUGAAGGCCUUCGGGUCGUAAAGCUCUGUUGUUAGGGAAGAACAAGUGCGAGAGUAACUGCUCGCACCUUGACGGUACCUAACCAGAAAGCCACGGCUAACUACGUGCCAGCAGCCGCGGUAAUACGUAGGUGGCAAGCGUUGUCCGGAAUUAUUGGGCGUAAAGCGCGCGCAGGUGGUCCUUUAAGUCUGAUGUGAAAGCCCACGGCUCAACCGUGGAGGGUCAUUGGAAACUGGGGGGACUUGAGUGCAGAAGAGGGAAAGUGGAAUUCCAAGUGUAGCGGUGAAAUGCGUACAGAUUUGAGGAACACCAGUGGCGAAGGCGACUUUCUGGUCUGUAACUGACACUGGAGGGGCGAAAGCGUGGGGAGCAGACGGAUUAGAUACCCUGGGUAGUCCACGCCCUACACGAGGAGUGCGAAUGUUUAAAGGGUUUUCCGCCCCUUUAGGGCGUCAGCUAACGCAUUAAGCACUCCGCCGGGGGAUUACAGCGCCAGAAUGGAAACUCGA